rnacentral:rRNA from 1 species
AGUGAACGCUGGCGGUAGGCCUAACACAUGCGAGUCGAACGGCAGCACAGUAAGAGCUUGCUCUUACGGGUGGCGAGUGGCGGACGGGUGAGGAAUGCAUCGGAAUCUACUUUUUCGUGGGGGAUAACGUAGGGAAACUUACGCUAAUACCGCAUACGACCUACGGGUGAAAGCAGGGGAUCUUCGGACCUUGCGCGAUUGAAUGAGCCGAUGUCGGAUUAGCUAGUUGGCGGGGUAAAGGCCCACCAAGGCGACGAUCCGUAGCUGGUCUGAGAGGAUGAUCAGCCACACUGGAACUGAGACACGGUCCAGACUCCUACGGGAGGCAGCAGUGGGGAAUAUCGGACAAUGGGCGCAAGCCUGAUCCAGCCAUACCGCGUGGGUGAAGAAGGCCUUCGGGUUGUAAAGCCCUUUUGUUGGGAAAGAAAAGCAGCAGGUUAAUACCCCGCUGUUCUGACGGUACCCAAAGAAUAAGCACCGGCUAACUUCGUG